GUGACAAAAUUUCCAAAAGAUUCUGCAAUCACAUAAAUGAUUUCUGAAAUGAAGAAACAAAUGAAAAAAAAAAUUAAAAAUGAAAAUGUUUCUAGAAACAGAGACCUCUGAACAGAGCAUGUUUAUAGUGCUGGAUACCUUCAAUAUCACAUUCCUGUAGAUUAGACCUCAGUUUGAGGCAAAUGCUUUACAUUUUAUAGAUGAAAGUCCAGAUUGCCAUUUUGUUUUCCCAGAAACCAAAUCAAAUAAACGCAAAAACUAUGGGGUUUUUGCUGUUUAAAUUAUUGAAGUAUGUAGAAAUAUAAUAUUUGAUGUUGUAUUUCAUAAUAAAGAUUACAACCUAUUUAUAUAUAAAAGACGUUAUCUAAACAGGAAAGAAAAUCAAGUCUAUAAUUAUACAAUCCCUAAGAUUAAGCAACUAACCCAUCUAUCAAUAUUUACUUCCUAUAUUAAUAUAUUUACUUCUUAUAAUCUAUAACACUCCCCUCAAGUUGGAGUAUAAAUGUUAAUCAUGUCCAACUUGUUACAUAUAUAAUCAACUCGUCCCAUACAACUUAACAGACACCGAAUUUGUAAACCCAACUUCUUCCAAUAAUUGACGUACGCACAAAACUUCACAAACGGUUUUUUGCCAUGACUCAACAUUUAGAUUCAGCACUAGAACGGGAGACCACAUUUUCUCAGCUUAGUAAAACGCCUUACUGUGAAUAGAAUUUCGAAUCCGUGAACAGUACUCGUGAUCAGUACCCGAGAAACACUACUCGUGAACAGUACCCUCGAUGAACAGUACUCGUGAACAGUACCCGAUGAAUAAUUCCCGUGAACAAUACUUGAUGAAUAAUUCCCGUGAACAAUACCUAAUGAACAGAGCCCUAAGUCUCCAAGUGUUAACCUUUAUGGAUAACUCAAAUGAACAUAGACCUAAGUCUCCAAAUGUUACCCUCUAUGAGUAACCCAAAUGAAUAAAACCCUAAGUCUCCAAAUGUUACCCUUUAUGAGUAACCCAAAUGAAUAGAGUUCUACGUGAGUAACCCAAAUGAAUAGAGUCCUACGUGAGUAACCCAAAUGAAUAGAGUCCUACGUGAGUAACCCAAAUGAACAGAGUCCUACGUGAGUAACCCAAAUGAAUAGAGUCCUACGUGAGUAACCCAAAUGAACAGAGCCCUAAGUCUCUAAAUGUUACCCUUUGUGAAUAACCCAAAUGAACAGAGCCCUAAGUCUCCAAAUGUUACUCUUUAUGAGUAACCCAAAUGAACAGAGCGCUACUGUCUCCAAAUGUUAUCCUUUAUGGAUAACCCAAAUGAACGGAGCCCUAAGUCUCCAAAAAAAUUUUAAAACUUUACGAGAGAGAAAAGAAAAAAAAAAAAUCUCUAUGAGAAAGGCUCUGAUACCAUGUAGAAAUAUAAUAUUUGAUGUUGUAUUUCAUAAUAAAGAUUACAACCUAUUUAUAUAUAAAAGACGGUAUCUAAACAGGAAAGAAAAUCAAGUCUAUAAUUAUACAAUCCCUAAGAUUAAGCAACUAACCCAUCUAUCAAUAUUUACUUCCUAUAUUAAUAUAUUUACUUCUUAUAAUCUAUAACAAAGUACAAGAAAAGAUAACAAUAAAAGGAUAGUAAAACGACCAAGCAAUAAGACUUAACA
rnacentral:lncRNA from 1 species